rnacentral:rRNA from 1 species
UACGUAGGGCGCAAGCGUAUCCGGAAUUAUUGGGCGUAAAGAGCUCGUAGGCGGUUUGUCGCGUCUGCCGUGAAAGUCCGGGGGCUCAACUCCGGAUCUGCGGUGGGUACGGGCAGACUAGAGUGAUGUAGGGGAGACUGGAAUUCCUGGUGUAGCGGUGGAAUGCGCAGAUAUCAGGGAGGAACACCGGAGGCGAAGGCGGCUUGCUGGGCUUGGUCUGACGCUGGAGGCGCGAAAGCGUGGGGAGCGAACAGG